rnacentral:rRNA from 1 species
UACGGAGGAUCCAAGCGUUAUCCGGAUUUAUUGGGUUUAAAGGGUGCGUAGGUGGCUUAUUAAGUCAGGGGUGAAAGACGGUAGCUUAACUAUCGCAGUGCCUUUGAUACUGAUGAGCUUGAAUGAACUAGAGGUAGGCGGAAUGUGACAAGUAGCGGUGAAAUGCAUAGAUAUGUCACAGAACACCAAUUGCGAAGGCAGCUUACUAUGGUUUGAUUGACACUGAGGCACGAAAGCGUGGGGAUCAAACAGG